rnacentral:tRNA from 1 species
GCAGUGGUGGUUCAGUGGUAGAAUUCUCACCUUUCAUGUGGGAGACCUGGGUUUAGUGCCCAGCCGACACG